rnacentral:rRNA from 1 species
AGAGUUUGAUCAUGGCUCAGAGUGAACGCUGGCGGCGUGCUUAACACAUGCAAGUCGAACGAUGAAGCUCUAGCUUGCUAGAGUGGAUUAGUGGCGCACGGGUGAGGAAUAUAUAGCUAAUGUGCCCCUUAGAGGGGGAUAACAGUUGGAAACGACUGCUAAUACCCCAUACUCCUUCUUACUAUAAGGUAAGUUGGGAAAGUUUUUUCGCUUUGGGAUUGGCCUGUACGGUAUCAGCUUGUUGGUGAGGUAAUGGCUCACCAAGGCUAUGACGCCUAACUGGUUUGAGAGGAUGAUCAGUCACACUGGAACUGAGACACGGUCCAGACUCCUACGGGAGGCAGCAGUGGGGAAUAUUGCACAAUGGAGGAAACUCUGAUGCAGCAACGCCGCGUGGAGGAUGACACAUUUCGGUGCGUAAACUCCUUUUAUAUAGGAAGAUAAUGACGGUACUAUAUGAAUAAGCACCGGCUAACUCCGUGCCAGCAGCCGCGGUAAUACGGAGGGUGCAAGCGUUACUCGGAAUCACUGGGCGUAAAGAGCGUGUAGGCGGGUUAAUAAGUUGGAUGUGAAAGCCCUAGGCUUAACCUGGGAAUUGCAUUCGAUACUGUUUGACUAGAGUAUAGUAGAGGGAAGUGGAAUUCCAUGUGUAGCGGUGAAAUGCGUAGAUAUGUGGAGGAACACCAGUGGCGAAGGCGACUUCCUGGACUAAUACUGACGUUGAGGUACGAAAGCGUGGGGAGCAAACAGGAUUAGAUACCCUGGUAGUCCACGCCCUAAAACGAUGUCAACUAUCCGUUGGAAGACUUGAUCUUUUAGUGGCGCAGCUAACGCAAUAAGUUGACCGCCUGGGGCGUACGGCCGCAAGGUUAUAACUCAAAUGAAUUGACGGGGGCCCGCACAAGCGGUGGAGCAUGGGGUUUAAUUCGACGCAACGCGAAGAACCUUACCUACUCUUGACAUCCUCAGAACUUAGCAGAGAUGCUUUGGUGCCUUCGGGAACUGAGUGACAGGUGCUGCAUGGCUGUCGUCAGCUCGUGUUGUGAAAUGUUGGGUUAAGUCCCGUAACGAGCGCAACCCUUGUCCUUAUUUGCCAGCACGUAAUGGUGGGAACUCUAGAGAGACUGCCGGUGAUAAACCGGAGGAAGGUGGGGAUGACGUCAAGUCAUCAUGGCCCUUACGGCCAGGGCUACACACGUGCUACAAUGGAUAAUACAGAGGGUUGCGAACCCGUAAGGAGGAGCUAAUCUCAGAAAAUUAUUCGUAGUCCGGAUUGGAGUCUGCAACUCGACUCCAUGAAGUCGGAAUCGCUAGUAAUCGCGAAUCAGCAUGUCGCGGUGAAUACGUUCCCGGGCCUUGUACACACCGCCCGUCACACCAUGGGAGUGGGUUGUACCAGAAGUAGGUAGUCUAACCGCAAGGAGGACGCUUACCACGGUAUGGUUCAUGACUGGGGUGAAGUCGUAACAAGGUAGCCAAGGGCGAA